AAUAAAACGGCAACUUAACUGACAAGGUCCGUUAAUAUUGAGGUGUAAUUCAUCGCGUCACUAUGCAAGGGAAAGACGGCGAUGAAGAACCGUCGGACCGGCAUAUGUCGACGAUAUCUCGGCAUGCCUUCGGCGACGACGAGGAACAACCGGCGUUUUCUAUCUCGAUAAUUGAGAACAUGAAGGAAGAGUAUGGGCUAUUUGUGUGGCCGUGUAGUGUAAUUCUCGCCGAGUACGUUUGGCAACAGAGAGACCGCUUUUCAGGUGCCCGCGUAGUUGAGCUCGGUGCCGGAACUUCCUUGCCGGGAUUAACGGCGGCCAAGUUGGGUUCCGAUGUCACUCUCACCGAUGACUCCAAUAGAUUGGAGGUGCUGGACAACAUCAGAAAAGUAUGCAACCUAAAUAAGCUCAAGUGCAAUGUACUGGGAUUAACAUGGGGAAUUUGGGAUGAAGCUAUAUUCAGUUUAAAGCCAACAAUUAUCCUUGGUGCUGAUGUACUUUAUGAAGCGAGUGCCUUUGAUGACCUCUUUGCCACCUUGACAUUCCUGCUCCAAAAUUCUCCGGGUUCUGUCCUUAUAACAACUUAUCAUAAUCGAAGCGGGCACCAUCUUAUUGAAUUCUUGAUGGUGAAGUGGGGAUUAAAAUGUGUGAAGCUACUUGAUGGAUUUUCUUUCAUGCCAUCCUACAAGGCAUCUGGAUUAAAUGGCAACAUUCAAUUGGCUGAGAUUGUACUCAAUAGCAAAAAUACUGAGGAAACUAAUAGCUUGGUUUAGCAUCUAGUGAGGCAUUCACUUUCAUUGCAUUAUCACUUCUCUGUGGCACAAGAGACUCGCUCUUCCAUGCUAGAGCCAAAAUAUCAGCACAAGACACCACUCCAGGGCAUUGAGCUUCCACUACUUUCUUAGCAUUGUCAAUGACAUAAAAGGCAUGCAAAGAAACAUUAGGUGGCCCAUCUUUCUCUGCCUUGUUGCUCCCUUUUGAAUUUAACAGCACAGAAGCAUCACAGCCCUUGAAAGCCAAAAGCAAAGUAAUCAAUUAGUUUGAACAGUAAGACUGCCAAGGUAAGAAACAUAUAUAGAUGCUUUGUUUUAAUUCUCACCCUUAUGAAACAGUCAUGGAAAUGCAUUCUAAGGAGAGCUGCAGGAACUGUUUUGUCUCUCGUCGCCGCGCUCUUGACAGCAUCUGUGACUAUCAAAUCAAGGUCAGGACAUGUUUUCUCAUAGUAAUUCAAGCUUAGUGCAUUUCCUUGUAAUGAUACUGAAAAUAUGAGAACUGAGCUUAAGAGCAGAGUAAAAAUGGAAGCCAUAGUAAGGUAAGGUGAUAUUGGUUGCUCUCAGCUUCGUUUUUUGUUUGCAUGGGAAUUGAACAACCUAGCGAGGGUAUAUAUAAAUAACCCGAUUUGUAGGAGAUAAGAGCUAGAGUAGAGUUGUUGUUAGCCCCAGAACAUGAAUUAGUUAAGAAGGUGGAGAAAGAAAAUGAUGAAGUAGUAGAUUUUAAGCAAUCCAAUCUUACUGUAUCAAUGCUUCGUGACAAUUUUCUUGCCAUUUGUCUUGUUGCCUGCUGUCUAGAGACCCAUCAGAAGUUGUUUUUUCAGCUUUUUUACCUGUCAGAAGUUGUUUUUUCAA